UAGGCGUGUGCUGUGUAAGGUGUGCGCCCCUCCGAGGGGGAGUUCGGGCGUCCAGGUGGCUGGGCUGGGAAGGACCGAGCAGCGGCCAGGCCAGGACCACCGGCGGGGUCUGUGAGGCUCUUUCCGGAAGCCGGCAGCACCGAGUGGGGACGGCCAUCCCCCAGUGCAGACGGGGUCACCGGCCCAGAGAAUUCCAAUACAGGACCUUGGAGGAAAGGCUGCUGUCUGAAAAUAUUUUGCUGACACCUGCUGGGAGAUUAAGACUCGGAGAUGCAGCCAGUGUUGAGAUAUGCAGAGCCAGGGGAAGGGGUUUGGAACUGGGUAUUCUGACCGUAGGGAAGCCGUUCACAAAAGGCUGCAUUUUCCAUGCUCUCGAUGGGAGAAACCGGUCUGUCCCACAUUAAUGACUCCAAGUUAACACCCAGAUAAGGCAGAUUCUGUGAAGUUUGAGCUGUACCUUUAUCAGUGUACUAUCGUAUACAUACACACACAUAUCCAUGCAAAAAAAAAAAAACCACAUACACUAAAAUCUUUAUAUAAAUAUGCCUUAAAGAGCUCUUUAAAAUGUAUAAAUUAAAAUUUUGAGUGACAA